rnacentral:rRNA from 1 species
GCGCACCAGUCGCGAAAACUCCGCAAUACGCGAAAGCGUGACGGGGCCACCCCGAGUGCCGUCCGCUGAGGAUGGCUUUUCCCCAGUGUAGAUAGCUGGGGGAAUAGGGAGAGGGCAAGUCUGGUGUCAGCCGCCGCGGUAAUACCAGCUCUUCGAGUGGUAGGGAUGUUUAUUGGGCCUGAAGCAUCCGUAGCCGGCUGGACAAGUCCUCCGUUAAAUCCAACGAUUCAAUCGUUGGAUUGCGGGGGAUACUGUUCGGCUAGGGGGUGAGAGAGGCCGACGGUAUUCCCGGAGUAGGGGUGAAAUCCUAUAAUCCCGGGAGGAACACCAGUGGCGAAGGCUGUUGGCUAGAACGC